UACGGGGGGGGGCAAGCGUUGUUCGGAAUUACUGGGCGUAAAGGGCUCGUAGGAGGCCAACUAAGUCAGACGUGAAAUCCCCAGGCUCAACCUGGGAACUGCGUCUGAUACUGGAUGGCUUGAAUCCGGGAGAGGGAUGCAGAAUUCCAGGUGUAGCGGUGAAAUGCGUAGAUAUCUGGAGGAAUACCGGUGGCGAAGGCGGCAUCCUGGACCGGCAUUGACGCUGAGGAGCGAAAGCUAGGGGAGCAAACGGG
rnacentral:rRNA from 1 species